GGAGACUCUAAGACUUCUGAAGAGUUUCUUGCUUCUUUCCUGUGGGGCAGUGACUCCACUUCCCAGCAGUAAUGGAAUAUCCUGAAUUAGCUACAUUAAUGUUAGAACCAUUUGGACCUCACCCAGGACUUCAACUACAUUAUGAGUAACUCCUGGACGAUUGGCACAGAAGAAGGCACAAGGCAAAUACCCAUCUCUGUACACCCUGUGCUACUGUGUCAUGUGCUGCUCCAGGCAACUCCAAUGGAUUGGCCACCCUGGCCAAUGUGUGAGUUAUAAAGCAAUGAUGUGUAGCUAUUGAACCUACAAUUUGGUUAAAGUUAAACUCUCAAGUUUUAUAUGUUUACAAGCAUAUUGUCCUUUUGUUAAUUUCCUCCCAGUACUCAUUUCUUGACUUCUUUUAGUUUUACUAUGUAGUAAUUUUUAAAAUGUUAGUCAAAGUUAGUUAAUUUAAUUCACUUAGCAGAUUUUCCUGUAAUUUUGGUUAAACAGUAUCCUUUCUGUACAGGCCCUCCAAACACCAGCACUGAGUAGAAAGAGGCUCUGAUUCAUGAAAUGUGAAUUUAUGACAGUUGCCACUCUUAAAAAAAAAAACAAACAGACAGAACUUGAGCAAUACAUGACUGAUGCAUUCUCAGCCUGCUUCCUGUGUUCCAUCUGUCUUUCUGCCAGUGCAUUCACCCUCCAGGUUUGAAAGUAGUCGGGCAAGAAAGUACUAAACAUAGAGAAAGGGCAAUUCCAAAAGAACAAAUGAUUGCUUAAUUUAGGCUGACAUUACCCAGUUGCUGGGGGUAUGGGCCAUGGGGAUGGGCCAUGUUCACCACUUAGGUUGGGCAAAUUCCCAAGAUGCCUUUUGACAUAGUAAUGAGGGGGAAUACAUCACUCAUGCCCACU
rnacentral:lncRNA from 1 species